CACCAUGGCGUCACAUCCCAAAGUUGGGGACCCCCUCUGGGGACCCAUUCAGUGCGUCCCCCAUUGCAGACCGCACUGUUCCCAUGGGGUGGGGGCGGGGAGCACCCUUUAUUUUUGGGAUUAAAGUUUAUUUCGUGAUAAAGGGGUGUUGGGGGAUGCCCCCCCCACGUGAAUAAAGGGCAGAGGAGCGGCUGUGGGGCUCCGUGUGUCACACCAGGGGGUGCUUUGGGGACACUGCAGCAUCCCAGCCCCAUAGCUCCCAUGGCCCUAUAACCACUACAGCCCCAUCUCUUACCCAUCCCAUAUCCAUAUCCCAUCCCAUAUCCCAUCCUGUAUCCAUAACCCUUCCAAUACCCAAACCAUCAUAUCCAUCCCACACCCAUAUCCCAAAUCCAUCCCAUAUCUGUAUCCCAAAUCCAUCCCGUAUCCAUAUCCCAAAUCCAUCCCGUAUCCAUCCCCUAUCCCAUGUCCGUAUCCCCGUAUCCCAUCCCAUAUCUCAUCCCAUAUCCGUAUCCCAUCCCAUAUCUCAUCCCGUAUCCGUAUCCCAUCCCAACUCCAUGCCAAAUCUCUUUCUAUAUCCACAUCACUUUAUCCAUCCCAUAACCAUCCCAAAUCCAUCUCAAAUCCAUAUCUCAUCCCAAACCGAUCCCAUCUCCUUAUCCAUCCCGUAUCAAUGUCCCAUCCCUUAUCCAAUCCCAUACCCCAUCCUAAAGCGAUCCCACAUCCAUACCCGCACAUCCCAUAUCCUAUCCCCAUCCUGUACCCCAUGUCCCAUAUCCAUUUCCAUCCCACAGCCUCCCCGAAUCCAUAUCCCCGCAUCCAUCCCGUGUCCAUCCCAUAUCCAUUCCGUAUACUUAUCCCAUCCUAUGAUCAUCCCAAUCCCAUCCCAUAUCCAUAUCCUGUCCCAACUCUACCCCAUAUCGUUCCCAUACCUUUGCCAAGUCUGUCCCGUACCCGUAUACCCACUUCCCGCAUCCCAAUCCCAACCCCAAUCCCAACCCCAAUCCCAAUCCCACACCUCAUUCCCAAUCCCACAUGCCAAUCCCCUAUCCCGCAUCCCAAUCCGUAUCCCGAAUCUCAAUUCCAAUCCCACAUCCCAGCCCCAUGUACCAUGUGUCAAUCCAUCGCAAUCCCAAAUCUCAUAUCCCAGUCCUAACCCCAAUCCCACACCCCCAAUCCCAAUCCCACACCCCAAUCCCAAUCCCAAUGCCAUCCCCUAUUGCAAUAGGGCACACUCCGGGCCCCUCCCGCAGCUCCGUCCCGCCCCCAUCUUCUCAUUGGCUGAGGUGCAGCUCCGUCCCGCCCCCGGCCUCUCAUUGGUCAGGUGCAGCUCCGUCCCGGCCCCUGACUCUCAUUGGCGGACGCGCAGCCCAGUCCCGCCCCCAUCCUCUCAUUGCUCAGCGGCAGCGCCGCCGGCUCCCAUUGGCUGAGGCGCAGCGCGCGGGAG
ensembl:lncRNA